rnacentral:rRNA from 1 species
GACGAACGCUGGCGGCGUGCUUAACACAUGCAAGUCGAACGGUAAGGCCUUUCGGGGUCCACGAGUGGCGAACGGGUGAGUAACACGUGGGUGAUCUGCCCUGCACUUCGGGAUAAGCCCGGGAAACUGGGUCUAAUACCGGAUAGGACUGCGCGGUGCAUGCCGUGUGGUGGAAAGAUUUAUCGGUGCAGGAUGGGCCCGCGGCCUAUCAGCUUGUUGGUGGGGUAAUGGCCUACCAAGGCGACGACGGGUAGCCGGCCUGAGAGGGCGACCGGCCACACGGGGACUGAGACACGGCCCAGACUCCUACGGGAGGCAGCAGUGGGGAAUAUUGCACAAUGGGCGCAAGCCUGAUGCAGCGACGCCGCGUGAGGGAUGACGGCCUUCGGGUUGUAAACCUCUUUCAGCAGGGACGAAGCGUGAGUGACGGUACCUGCAGAAGAAGCACCGGCCAACUACGU